AACAAUGGCACAAUGGCUAAUAUCUUGGCACAACCAAUAACGCUAAUUACUGCUGAUAAUUGAGCGUACAAUUCCAUCCGAGCUCUUCCAAAAAUAAUAAAACGUGAAGUGAAAUCGAAGGAACGUAACUACCAAUAAUUUAUGAUUCUGCAUUGCCUCCCCUGACAUCUCUCUGAUUGGGAUGUUCACCAAAUGUUUUUUUCUUAAAAAGUGGAGUGCUCGUUGACAAGGACAAGCCAAGUGGUGGUGGUUCUCCAGAAAUGGAGUACUAACGGAGCCACCGGUGCUGCUGCUGCUUCCAGCAGCGCUGUAACCUCGAUUAGCAGAUGUUGAUGGAGGCUGAAGAAUAUUGGAU